rnacentral:rRNA from 1 species
GACGAACGCUGGCGGCGUGCCUAAUACAUGCAAGUAGGACGCAGUUGCGAACGGGUGAGUAAUGCGUAGGUAACUACCUAUUAGAGGGGGAUAACUUUUGGAAACGAUAGCUAAUACCGCAUACUAGUAGAUGGACCUGUGUUGUAUUAGCUAGGAGGUAGGGUAAUGGCCUACCUAGGCAACGAUACAUAGCCGACCUGGGAGUGUGUACGGCCAACAGGGGACUGGGGCACGGCCCAGCCUCCUUCGGGCGGCAGCAGUAGGGAAUCUUCGGCAAUGGGGGGAACGCUGACCGAGCAACGCCGCGUGAGUGAAGAAGGUUUUCGGAUCGUAAAGCUCUGUUGUUAAGGAAGCGGUACUUAACCAGAAAGGGACGGCUAACUACGUGCCAGCAGCCGCGGUAAUAC